rnacentral:rRNA from 1 species
AAUGCCUAGGAGUCUGCCUGGUAGUGGGGGAUAACGUUCGGAAACGGACGCUAAUACCGCAUACGUCCUACGGGAGAAAGCAGGGGACCUUCGGGCCUUGCGCUAUCAGAUGAGCCUAGGUCGGAUUAGCUAGUUGGUGAGGUAAUGGCUCACCAAGGCGACGAUCCGUAACUGGUCUGAGAGGAUGAUCAGUCACACUGGAACUGAGACACGGUCCAGACUCCUACGGGAGGCAGCAGUGGGGAAUAUUGGACAAUGGGCGAAAGCCUGAUCCAGCCAUGCCGCGUGUGUGAAGAAGGUCUUCGGAUUGUAAAGCACUUUAAGUUGGGAGGAAGGGUUGUAGAUUAAUACUCUGCAAUUUUGACGUUACCGACAGAAUAAGCACCGGCUAACUCUGUGCCAGCAGCCGCGGUAAUACAGAGGGUGCAAGCGUUAAUCGGAAUUACUGGGCGUAAAGCGCGCGUAGGUGGUUUGUUAAGUUGGAUGUGAAAUCCCCGGGCUCAACCUGGGAACUGCAUUCAAAACUGACUGACUAGAGUAUGGUAGAGGGUGGUGGAAUUUCCUGUGUAGCGGUGAAAUGCGUAGAUAUAGGAAGG